ensembl:lncRNA novel transcript
ACAAGACAAAAUACUGUAAGCAGGGUGGAUGGCUCUGUGUGAUGGUCUUGGUUGCAUACUCCCCUUCACUAAGGUCAAACAAAACCCAAAAGUCUCUUGUAAACACCUCUCAUUUUCAUUGUCCAUGUGGAGAAGCUCAAAGCUUUCAUUUGGCCCAAGUGACAUCCUAACCACUUUACAGCCUGUUCAGGUCCACUUUAUAAUAUUGCACACGUUGGAAAUGAAACUGGCGCUUAUGACUCCCAGAAGUAUAAAUUUUAAUGAAGAUUCUAAAAACUUUAUCUUGGCCCUGUGAUGGUGCAGAUUGAAAAAAAUUUCCAUUUCUGACAUGUCUAUAAUGAACUUCAUUGCUGCUUUUUAAAAAUUUUUCCUUUUGAUAAGAAAUUAAAGACUGAUUUCCUCUCUACAAAAGAAAAUGCCACUUUAUUCCCCAUACACACCCUCUCUCUUAGUAAAACAACUCUGAUUUUUAUAGCUGGGCAUCUUGCCACCCAGUUAAAGAUGUAUUCCCUUGCAGCUAAAUAAGGCCAAGUGACUAUGCUCUUGCCAAUAAUAUGUAAACUGAAGUGUAGCAAGGUACUUUUGGGAAGUCUCUUUAAAAAGCAUCAUUUCUUUUGUAUUUGUCCCUUCAUCUUCCUGCUACUCAAGAUGUGCAUAUAAUGGCAGGCACUUCUGUAGGCAUUUUGGAUCAUGAAAUGUCUUUGAUGGAAACUAAGAAAAGUAGAGAAACAGAAUUGAAGGUUUCACAAUUCUAAAACCUUUGUAAAAGUUUUGUAAAAGGUUUUACAAUUGAAGGUAAUUAAUAUUACACUAUUAAUUAUAGUAAAGGUCAUGCUUCUGUGGAAAAAAAAAAGAGUCCCUUGACAUGAUGGUUCAAACAAGUUAGGAAAGGCAGACUGUGCUUCUCAAAAUCAGCCAGAGAAUCAGACUGGCUGAGCACACUGCCAUCCUCAAUGCAUGGCUUCUAGAUUGCUUUAGCCUUUAUCAUUUGAAGCCAAUAGGAAGCAAGGAGAACAUCAAAGCACAUAAUUAAUGACCGAAAGCAUCCAUCACUUCUGCUCAAAUCAUUUUGGGAAUGUCAUAGUCUUCUUGAUCACACUUGAAUGCUGGGGAAGCUAAGCAGUGUAGUACAACUGGACAAUCAGUUCCUGUGUCCAAGAACUUUUUAAAGACAGUAGGGUAGAAUGCUUACUUGUAAUCAAAAAGCAGUCUCCACCAAAACUGUAGGUCUUCAUAUUCUAUCCAGAUGGUAAAAAGUUAACUUUUCUCUUGUUUAGCUUACUACACGCCGGGCCUUUAUUAUUUAUAGUUGAACAUCAUCUUCAUUGAUAUACCCCUUUUAUGUUUUUUCAAUGAACCUCAUCUGUAAAUCAUUAACUGGAUUAUUAGAUAAGUGCUAAAUAAUCCCCAGCUGUAAAAUUCUAAGAAUAAUUAAAACUUCCUUUCUUAACAUUCUUAGUGAACAACUUACAGGUUAAAAAACAAACCCAAAGAGAUUAUUUCCUGCAAAGAGCCUUUAGUAUGGUAGCACCUACUUCUAGAAGGCCUGUCAUAAACUGUCAUCUAGUGAAAGUGAUGAAGAAGAGUGGCUGGGAGUCAAUCUUAUCAGGAGCUGGAACAGGUGAAGCCCUCACCAGUGAAAAAUCUUGACAGAUGCAGCUACUAAGAUUUCCUACUACAAAGAAUAACAGCAGUUAGAAAAGCAGACUCCCUGUGGUGGCGACCAGUAUCUUCAAACUCAUACCAGAGUAAAGCCUUAUCCAUUUGGAGUUCUUUCUGAUGCAUUAUGUGAGAAAAACAAGCAAACAAAUGAACACUUAUUUGUAUUUGAAUUGCACUAAAUUUAUACAUGAAACUGAAAAAAACUGAUAUCUUUAUGAAGCUGCAUAAUCCUAUCCAAGGACAGACGUCUCCUUCCAUUUGCUUUUGCUUUACUAAUUUGAAUCUAUGUUAUUUGUUUUGGAUACAUCUGGAAUUGACUUUUUUGCAUGGUGUAAGAAAUAACAGUUCUUCCUGGAUCAGCCCUCUCCCGUCUGUCAUCUCCAACAGAUACAAAGCCAGCUUUAAGAAGACCAAACCUACAAAAAUCAUUCAUGCUUUCUGCCUCCAUGUUUUUCUUUCCAACCUAGUUCCUCCAGAAAAUGUAAAAGAGCAACCGAACCGUCAACUGGUACAAUGACUUCUACACAUCAGACCUCGGCCACGCCACAGUCAUCAGAUUAUUCUAUCACAGGGUCUCUCAACCGUGGAAUAUGGUCUCCAAGGGAAACAAGCCACAGAGGGCUCAGGAGCAUUGCUAUAAAGAGUAGGCAAAUGGAAAUCUUUCCCCAAAGGGCACACUGGGAUUGUUAGGCGAGGGCUGCUCAAUCCAUUAAAAGUUUAAACUCGAAAAAAAAAAAGAAAAAAAAAACCUUUUGAAAAAAUACAGAAAGCAACCUGUUCUAGAUUUUGUGUAUAAAAGAGAGUUUAUUCAGGGGACUGAAAUGUUGACAGUGAAUCAACUGGGAGGAUAUUUUCAAUCAGAACCGUCUGACUGACAGCUUUCAUAUUAUUAAUGCACAUACUAGGAGACAUCAAAUUUGAAGGGCAGGCAUUGUGCUAAGUCAGACUUCUACCUUAAAAUGCAUUACAUUUUGUCUGUAAAUCAAGGUCAGUUAUUAAAUUAAGGUGCUCUCAUCCCUAAAUACUUUAUUCCAUCAUCGUGUGUAAUUAAUCACAAACCCCUUACUUGGGGUUCUUUAGAAAGUGAUGAGCAAAACCCAUAAAAAAUUAAGAGAAAAAAUAACAGGUAUCUUUUAAAAAACAGGGAAUAAGUGCAAGGAAAUUUAAGUAUAAGUAAAAAAAUUUGCACGAUUCUUUAAAUAGAUAAUAGAUAUAAUAAUAAUAAUUUUGCAGCCCUACAAUUCCACAGCAUAUUAAUCUUUUCAAAUCUGUUAUUUUUCACCAUUAAAACAAUCAUGUAAAACAGGUGGAGUACUUCAAUAUUCCAAUUUCACAGAUGCAUACACUGAGUCAAGGAAAAGUUAAGUAUCUAUUAAGUCAUCCAGCUUACUGGAUAUGGAACUGAGACUUGAAAGCAUAUCUUCUAAAUCCGACCUCUUCUCUAAAGAUAGUGUCACCUUUCUCCAAAGAUAGUGUCAGGACAUAGAAAGCAGAAGUUAAACUGUAUGCGCUAUUCUGCCUUCCAUACUUAUUUUUCCCAAGAAGUAAUUUAAAAAACACAUUGGAGAUAAUGCUUGUGAAGCACUUUGCUAAAUGCUAAAUUGUCCGAACACUUUGGAAAAAAGUGGCAGUUUCUUAAAAAAUUAACAAAGAAUUACCAUAUGACCCAGCAAUUCCACUCCUAGCCAUGUACUGAGGAGAACUGAAAAUAUAUGUCCAUGUAAAAACUUAGAGUUAAAUAUUUGUAGCAGCUUUAUUUAAAAUAGCCAAAAAGUGGAAACAACCCCCCAAAAAUGUGCCUCAGUGAUGGAUGUAUAAAUAAAACAUGUUGUAUACAUAACAAUGAAAUAUUAUUUAGCCACAAAAAGAAAUGAAGUUUCUUUUUAUAUUAGUUGGCCAUAAAAAGAAAUAAAGAGUUUUUUGUUUUGUUUUGUUUUGUUUUUUUGUAGCAUGUACUGACCUGGAAAACCUCAUGCUAAGUGAAAGAAGGCAGUUACAAAGGACCACAUAUUUUUGAUACCAUUUAUAUAACAUGUCUAGAACAGGCAAAUCUAGAGAGAUGGAAAGUAGGUUAGUGGUUGGCUAGUACUAGAGUAAGCAAGCAGGGAUUGGAGGGUAUUGGCUAAGGAAUACAGGGUUUCUUUCUGUGGUGCUUUUCUUAAAAAGUUCUAAAAUUGAUUGUUGUGUUGUUUGCACAAUGCUGUGAAUAUCCUAAAAGCUACUGAAUGAUACACUUUAAAUGGGUGAAUUAUAUGGUAGGUAGAUUAUGUCUCAAUAAAACU